UCGACCCCCCAUCCACUCUUUCCCUUAUUCUCUCAAUUUCUUUCUCUCCCUUCGUCUCCCUCUCUCUCUCUCUCUAUCUAAACUCUCCCGUUUCUCUCCAAAUAGCCCAGAAACAAAACUCAGAAACCACCCUAAGCCACCGUCCCCACCGCCGUCUAACCCAGUUCCCAGUUGAUCUUGAACCGGAGAACUCAAAUCUCCAUCCUCUCCCCAACCCAGAACCCUUCUGAAACUCCAAAUGAAGAUGAAUCUUCAUCUUCAACCUCCAAAACCCACGAACCUAACCCUAAGUCCUUUGAAGGACGAACCCUAACCCUUGUAUUCAAGAACCCUAACCCUUAACAAAAUCCAGAUUCAACAAAACACACAGUGAAUCGAACAAAUCAAGCAUACAGAUCGAAAGGCCUAAGCUACAUGGUUCGAGCGUGAAGACGAAGAUUGGUUUGUGGUCGCGGCUUCUAGGGUUUUCUUUCAGAAAUUCGUCCUCAAAAGUUCAUCCCCCCCUCUUUCUGUAGUUUUAAGUGUUUGAUUUAUAGUCCUUAGGGUUUUAAUUCGUUUAGGAAAGAUUACAUUAGAUUUAGGUUUUAGUAUUUGAUUGAUUUCGUUGUAACUGAAUAUGAGAUUAAUAAAAAAAAAUUAUAUGAUUCUUCCUUGA